rnacentral:other from 1 species
CGUCUCCUGCAGUGUUCGACACUGACCCGGAUACCUUUCGACCCUAAAUUUUUACCUCGGGGCCGUGCACUGUCGGCACUAUUUGAGCAAAACCACUUCGGUGGAUAGCCUGUUGGUGCCACGGCUGACCCCACCUGUUGCUCCGGUUCGAGAGCGACGGUCGGUGACGGCACAGGCGGGAGACGU